AUUGAACGCUGGCGGCAGGCUUAACACAUGCAAGUCGAGCGGGGUGAUGGUGCUUGCACUAUCACUUAGCGGCGGACGGGUGAGUAAUGCUUAGGAAUCUGCCUAUUAGUGGGGGACAACAUCUCGAAAGGGAUGCUAAUACCGCAUACGUCCUACGAGAGAAAGCAGGGGAUCACUUGUGACCUUGCGCUAAUAGAUGAGCCUAAGUCGGAUUAGCUAGUUUGUGGGGUAAAGGCCUACCAAGGCGACGAUCUGUAGCGGGUCUGAGAGGAUGAUCCGCCACACUGGGACUGAGACACGGCCCAGACUCCCACGGGAGGCAGCAGUGGGGAAUAUUGGACAAUGGGGGGAACCCUGAUCCAGCCAUGCCGCGUGUGUGAAGAAGGCCUUAUGGUUGUAAAGCACUUUAAGCGAGGAGGAGGCUCUUUUGGUUAAUACCCAAGAUGAGUGGACGUUACUCGCAGAAUAAGCACCGGCUAACUCUGUGCCAGCCGCCGCGGUAA
rnacentral:rRNA from 1 species